rnacentral:rRNA from 1 species
AUUGAACGCUGGCGGCAUGCCUUACACAUGCAAGUCGAACGGUAACAGGUCUUCGGAUGCUGACGAGUGGCGAACGGGUGAGUAAUACAUCGGAACGUGCCUAGUAGUGGGGGAUAACUACUCGAAAGAGUGGCUAAUACCGCAUGAGAUCUACGGAUGAAAGCAGGGGAUCGCAAGACCUUGUGCUACUAGAGCGGCCGAUGGCAGAUUAGGUAGUUGGUGGGAUAAAAGCUUACCUAGCCGACGAUCUGUAGCUGGUCAGAGAGGACGAUCAGCCACACUGGGACUGAGACACGGCCCAGACUCCUACGGGAGGCAGCAGUGGGGAAUUUUGGACAAUGGGCGAAAGCCUGAUCCAGCAAUGCCGCGUGCAGGAUGAAGGCCUUCGGGUUGUAAACUGCUUUUGUACGGAACGAAAAGCCCCGGGUUAAUACCCUGGGGUCAUGACGGUACCGUAAGAAUAAGCACCGGCUAACUACGUGCCAGCAGCCGCCGUAA